GUGCCAUCUCCGAGAGGGCUGCAACGGCUAUAAAAAGACAAGACGCGGUAAUCUGACUAAUAAAUGGAAUAUUAUGUUUAGUGCACGAUGGGUGGGGAUCACGGCGUCGCUUUUAGAUGCCAUUUUGCCAUACACGCCUUAUCAUUUUACCACUUUAUCACUGUGUAGAAUGGAGGAUAAAUGAAGAAUGCAUCUAACGAUGAAUUUACUGAGGACUUCACGGAAAGAUAUGUAAAAUAUGAAAUGAUUGUCAUUAUGCACUUUGUGAUAUAUUUAUCCCUGUCUCAAUAUAGCACCUCGUUCAGUUCUUUAAAAAAAAUUAUUGUAUAUUAGCGAUAUGUAUGCUGCAUGUAUAAAGAAGUCUAGUCAGACUCGUAUAUGCAGUAUGCUAUUGCGAUGAUCGGGCGUAUGCGCACACGUGUGCUGAUUUUCAUGUUCACAUUCGCAUGUGCGGAUAGUCAGCGCAUGCCCAUAUUGAAUUGUAAGGACACGGGCAUGCAGAUGAUGACUGAUUAGCUGAUCGGAACUACAUCUUGCAUACUGAGUAACUACGCAGCCAUAGUUUGUUUACAAGCCAUCAUACAUGAGGACAUGUGAAAAUUGUAUCAUCUGCAAGUGGAGGCUGCAAUCAGAGACAUGGAUGGAUGUAAGUGAAGUCCCAGUGAGCUCAUCAGAUGCUUAUAUGUACAAUCGAUAGUUGUCACUUUGAUAUUUUAAUGUAUUUGUAUUUUUGUAUACAUGGAUCAAUAUGGUAACAUAUUUUAGCCAAUGGAUGAUGAAGAGGAUUAUAAUGACACAUGUGAGACACCUGUUGUUUAACCAAUCACUGAAUGUUGUGGUUCCUAUAUAUGUGCACAUUGCCACUUUGUUUGUUAUGCUUGAAAAGGCAGUUUGUUGCCGAAACAUUGCAUUUUGGGGAGCGAAUAAAGUCACACUCCAUCAAGA